rnacentral:rRNA from 1 species
CCCUUAGAUGUCCUGGGCCGCACGCGCGUUACACUGAUGCAUUCAACGAGCUUUAACCUUGGCCGAGAGGCCUGGGCAAUCUUGUUAACGUGCAUCGUGAUAGGGAUAGAUUAUUGAAAUUAUUAAUCUUGAACGAGGAAUUCCUAGUAAACGCAGAUCAUCAAUCUGCAUUGAUUACGUCCCUGCCCUUUGUACACACCGCCCGUCGCACCUACCGAUUGGAUGGUCCGGUGAAGCCUCGGGAUUGUGGUUCUUGCCGCUUUAUUGUGGCGUGACCGCGAGAACUUGUCUAAACCUUAUCAUCUAGAGGAAGGUGAAGUCGUAACA